AGAAUUUUUUUAGUAGCUGCUAUUGCUGUCUCAAGUAACACAGGCUUUUAAAAACACCAUGAAGAAAGUAGCAUUGAGUGCAGGGGGUAUUUAAGUUUGUGAUUUUGGGGUGGUAAGGUGCUUUUGUAACUUCCUUUUUUUUGUUUUUGAUUUUCUUCAGGGUAUUGCAACUCCUUGAAAUUCCAGACUGUGUCAAGCAUGAAACUUCCAAGCUUUCAGCAGAUUCAUUGUGCUAUAAAAGGAACCUGCCCUGUGUUAGAGGUGACAUCUGAGAUGGAGGCUUCCCAUAGGUGUACCUUGUAAUGACAGCUGCAGCCUUUGCCUCAGGACAAAGAUACACACUGGAGGACCUGGGCACACUUAGGGGACGGUGGUCUGCAGUAUUCAAACUGCUAGUCCAACAUGACAGAGAUCCUUGUGAGAAGCUGCCAUGGUCAAGUGGUUUCAGAUGGAAACUACUACGGCAAAGCAAUGCCUUUGGACCCUGUGUUGGAAGUAAAGUGCAAUAUCAGCAGUCAAGGUCAAGUAAGCAAGGGCUGAACCCCCCUGCUAACCAGCUGAUGGAGCCUCUUUGCUGCCCUUGA
rnacentral:lncRNA from 1 species